AAAGUGCUUUACAAUCCGAAGACCUUCUUCACACACGCGGCAUGGCUGGAUCAGGCUUUCGCCCAUUGUCCAAUAUUCCCCACUGCUGCCUCCCGUAGGAGUCUGGACCGUGUCUCAGUUCCAGUGUGACUGAUCAUCCUCUCAGACCAGUUACGGAUCGUCGCCUUGGUAGGCCUUUACCCCACCAACUAGCUAAUCCGACCUAGGCUCAUCUGAUAGCGUGAGGUCCGAAGAUCCCCCACUUUCUCCCACAGGACGUAUGCGGUAUUAGCGCCCGUUUCCGGACGUUAUCCCCCACUACCAGGCAGAUUCCUAGGCAUUACUCACCCGUCCGCCGCUGAAUCCAGGAGCAAGCUCCCUUCAUCCGCUCGAUCUUGCAUGUGUUAAGGCCUGCCGCCACGCGUUC
rnacentral:rRNA from 1 species